GGGAGACAAGUAGGAACAGGAGUGAGAGGAGCUGAGGAGGAACARUGAGGAGCAGUGAAUUAAAUGGUACGUUAAAUUGCAGCAAGUCAUGCGAAAGUGUCAGCCUCGGUAGAAGAAUGUGUGUCGCCUCRUCACUGCAUCACCGCCACCAUCAUCAUCAUCAGCCUCUACAACCCCGACGUGAGAUAAAGGGAAGCCGUAUCAGGAACCCAAGAGACUCAGUUCAGGCCAGGCCGUGGCUGGGAGAGAAAACGAGGGAGUGGAAGAAACAGUAUGUGAGGGUUCUUGCUUGGCAGGUGGCUGGCUGCCUGUGGCUGCUGAGAAAACUAUUACCUCUGACUUGUGAUGGCAACACCUUAAAGUCUCACCAUGUACUCCCAAAGCACGUCAAUGUUUGGAGACACAGAAACACAUAAAGUGGGACAAACACUGUGUUUGUGUGGGACAAUAUUGGUGAAAAGCUAAAAGAUGAUAAAAUUUGUUAAGCCUAAUGUAAAAGUGACCUG